GAACGCUAGCUACAGGCUUAACACAUGCAAGUCGAGGGGAAACGACAUCGAAAGCUUGCUUUUGAUGGGCGUCGACCGGCGCACGGGUGAGUAACGCGUAUCCAACCUGCCCAUCACUUGGGGAUAACCUUGACGAAAGUAAGACUAAUACCCAAUGACGUCUCUAGAAGACAUCUGAAAGAGAUUAAAGAUUUAUCGGUGAUGGAUGGGGAUGCGUCUGAUUAGCUUGUUGGCGGGGUAACGGCCCACCAAGGCGACGAUCAGUAGGGGUUCUGAGAGGAAGGUCCCCCACAUUGGAACUGAGACACGGUCCAAACUCCUACGGGAGGCAGCAGUGAGGAAUAUUGGUCAAUGGACGAGAGUCUGAACCAGCCAAGUAGCGUGCAGGAUGACGGCCCUAUGGGUUGUAAACUGCUUUUAUAAGGGAAUAAAGUGAGUCUCGUGAGACUUUUUGCAUGUACCUUAUGAAUAAGGACCGGCUAAUUCCGUG
rnacentral:rRNA from 1 species